GAAGAGGAGGAGGAAGAGGCAGAGGAUAUCCCGAGUAUCGAUUUUUACAUUAGGAUUUGAAUUGUUUGAAAGCGUGAUACGUGGCAAGGGAGGAAUGUUUGGGGGAGGGGGUGGUAUUUAGAAGGUCUUGAAGUUUAGGUGAACUUCGCGUGAGCUUGACGUGCUCAUACAUUAUUAAUGACGCGGCCAGGACACGUUCAUUACAUCCACCGUAUCGUAUCUCGUGUACGACUCUACUCUGCCUUCGAGAUACUUAAUCUUCAUCAGGAUUGUGCGGUCGUGUAUCGAGAAAGAGUUGCAGCAACUACGUUUGAUCGAUCGGUUUUACGAAAUGUACGUUUUUUUUCAAUUUUACAUUAUUAAUCUUCUAAAUAUUGAAAAUACUUCCGUGAAAAAAUCGUUGUGCGUUAACAAUUUUAACACGAUAGAUAUUUCCUUUAGGAUUUCAUCGUCCAGGUUGAUCGAAAAAUUUGCGUAUUAUAUUUGCGUGCGUUAUCUAAUCGCAAUGGAGGUUACCAAAUCACAUUAAUUUAGAUCUUCACGCGCAAUCUCGUGUAAUAAAUAAAAUAUUAUCGUAGGAUUUGCUUCUAUCUCUGCGGUAUCCCCGGGAGAUCUUGGAGCCAAUCCAUCACGAAUACGAGGAUCCUAUUCUGUAUAUCAUUUUCAUACGUGUUCUUACGAAGAAAAAUUGUGCAUCAAUCACACCUACGUAUAAAAGGAUCGUAUUAGAAAAAAGAAAAAAAGAAAAGGAGAAUUAGAAAACGUUGAUCCUCGAGAUACC